UAACUACUCCCUCCGUUCGAAAUUACUUGUCUUGGAAAUGGAUGUAUCUAGAACUAAAAUACAUCUAGAUACAUCUAUUUUCGACACAAGUAAUUCCGAACGGAGGAAGUAGUUA
rfam:Triticum aestivum genome assembly, contig: Triticum_aestivum_CS42_TGACv1_scaffold_501411_6BL